rnacentral:rRNA from 1 species
GGCCUUCGGGUUGUAAACUGCUUUUGUACGGAACGAAAAGGCCCUGGUGAACAACCGGGGUUGCUGACGGUACCGUAAGAAUAAGCACCGGCUAACUACGUGCCAGCAGCCGCGGUAAUACGUAGGGUGCGAGCGUUAAUCGGAAUUACUGGGCGUAAAGCGUGCGCAGGCGGGACAUGCAAGACAGAUGUGAAAUCCCCGGGCUCAACCUGGGAACUGCAUAUGUGACUGUAUGACUGGAGUACGGCAGAGGGGGAUGGAAUUCCGCGUGUAGCAGUGAAAUGCGUAGAUAUGCCGGAGGAACACCGAUGGCGAAGGCAAUCCCCUGGGCCAGUACUGACGCUCAUGCACGAAAGCGUGGGGAGCAAACAGGAUUAGAUACCCUGGUAGUCC